CAAAUAAAGCAUGGCCCGGAGCCUCGCCGGUACCGGGCUGAGAAGUCCACCGUCCGCCAUGAUGAAGUCCACCUGCCCAGAGGGUGUUCGUCACUCUGGUCGCUGUCGUGACUGUCGUCAUUGGCCAACGAGUCCGUGGAGUGGCGUAACGCCGCCAUGCCGGAGAAGUCAGAAGGUGCCCUGGACACUUUCCAGACCCCAACUUCCCCUCAUGACCCAGCAUCAUCUUACGUGACCUCUCCACAACACCUCAUCCACUCAAGAAUUAGCACAACUCAAUGCUUUUUUUUUUUUUCUUCGAAUACUGUCAUUUCGCUGUGGGGCAGGGACUGUGAAAUGGUGCAAAUUUGUGUUAACAGUCCAUCAUUGUCUGCACUCAUCAAGCGUGAAAGAUCCUCUGCAAGCGCACAUUGCUGAGAGGCCGUUCGAAAUUAUUGUGGAGGG